ACGGGUGAGUAACGCGUGAGCAAUCUGCCCUUCGGAGGGGGACAACAGCUGGAAACGGCUGCUAAUACCGCAUGAUGUAUAUUAACGGCAUCGUUGAUAUACCAAAGAUUUAUCGCCGAAGGAUGAGCUCGCGUCUGAUUAGCUAGUUGGUAGGGUAACGGCCUACCAAGGCUGCGAUCAGUAGCCGGACUGAGAGGUUGAACGGCCACAUUGGGACUGAGAUACGGCCCAGACUCCUACGGGAGGCAGCAGUGGGGAAUAUUGGGCAAUGGGGGCAACCCUGACCCAGCAACGCCGCGUGAGGGAAGAAGGCUUUCGGGUUGUAAACUUCUUUGACCAGGGACGAAACAAAUGACGGUACCUGGAAAACAAGCCACGGCUAACUACGUGCCAGCAGCCGCGGUAAUACGUAGGCGGCAAGCGUUGUCCGGAUUUACUGGGUGUAAAGGGCGCGUAGGCGGGAAUGCAAGUCAGAUGUGAAAUGCUGGGGCUUAACCCUGGAACUGCAUUUGAAACUGUAUUUCUUGAGUAUCGGAGAGGCAGGCGGAAUUCCUAGU
rnacentral:rRNA from 1 species